UACGUAGGGUGCGAGCGUUGUCCGGAAUCAUUGGGCGUAAAGAGCGUGUAGGCGGCCACUUAAGUCUUGCGUGAAAUCUUGCGGCUCAACCGCAAGCGGUCGUGGGAAACUGGGUGGCUAGAGUGCGGGAGAGGAGAGUGGAAUUCCUGGUGUAGCGGUGGAAUGCGCAGAUAUCAGGAAGAACACCCGUGGCGAAGGCGGCUCUCUGGAACGCAACUGACGCUGAGACGCGAAAGCGUGGGGAGCAAACAGG
rnacentral:rRNA from 1 species